rnacentral:rRNA from 1 species
GACAGAGGGUGCAAACGUUGUUCGGAAUUACUGGGCGUAAAGCGCGUGUAGGUGGCCCUGCAAGUCGGAUGUGAAAUCCCACGGCUCAACCGUGGAAGUGCAUUCGAAACUGCAGGGCUAGAGUCCUGGAGAGGAAGGUGGAAUGCUUGGUGUAGAGGUGAAAUUCGUAGAUAUCAAGCGGAACACCGGUGACGAAGGCGGCCUUCUGGACAGUGACUGACACUGAGACGCGAAAGCGUGGGGAGCAAACAGG